AACGAUCCAGCAAUCCAAAGUUGACUGGGAGACAAUGACCUAGACCUCUCACGAACUCAUCCCAGCAUUCUCCAUGCGCCACAUCCUUCGGUACAUAUCCUUGACCUGUGGGGGGUGUGAGACAGCAAGGGUGAGCUCACAUACAUUCAUCGCUCAACAAGUUGUGGGGAAUAAUGUGAAUGAACUCACCAAAGGUGUGAGCUCAUGUGAAGUGUAAGGCUUACCAAAGAGGAUGGUUGAAGCUGAGCAUUGCUUUUAAAGUUGGUCAAAAUUUUAUUAGCAGUUACUAAGUGUAAGUAGAUACCAAUCCAAAUAAGUAAUAGAUAAAAAUUGAUAACAACACCCACAAUGCAAUGCAUAUGACAAAUUAAGUUUAGUUUCAUAAAUUAAUCAUGUGAGUGUCCGAGCCGCUCAUGACCGUGAGCACGGCUGAUAUACCAGUUUUACACUCUGCAGGGGUUGCACAUCUUUACCCACAAGUCGUUUUACCCACCUGCCAAGGGGUCAUGAAUCUCAUACACCUCUACCAAGGAAGCGAGGCAGGGUAACACUACGAGACCUUUACAAAGUUCCACUAGCUUCAGAAAACCCGCUACAGUCUAGGAAGCUCCAAUGCAGGGAUCCCUCGCCUAACCGCCAUCGCAGCAAAAUCAACCCAAGGACCUCCCUACAUUGACCACUCCCCUACUGCCCUUGCCCCUUUCGGGUAAGAUAGUCAUCCACUAACUUUCCUAAUUAGUCAGCCAAGGGCGUCCCAUACCACCCUUGUGGUAGCACUGUUUUCCCGAGUGGUUCUCCAUGUUCCAAUUAAUAGUAUGAUCUUAUCAUGAACAAUAAUUAAACAACAACAUAAUUGAAACAUGAUCAUAGUAAAACAUUAGCUUCCCAAAAACCAGAUAGAGCUAUAGCAAAUCUACCCAAUAAUUCAUCUGUUUGCAAGGUGGGAAAUAAACAAUGUUAGGGAAACCUAUUAGGUCCCAUCAAAUUUACCCGAGCAUGUCACAGUGAUUAAAUAUGAACAUUAUUAGGUAAAAAGGAGUGAUCAAGAGCACAACUUGCCUGGGACUCGAGAUUACAGGUACCAGGAUGAUCUUCAGAUGACUCGUAACCUCGCGCUAGUCGUAGCAAUACAAAAAAACAUGGUAUAGGCAAAAUUAACAUUACACCAAAACAUAAGCACAAACUAAAUAAUAAUGAUCUACGCGUCGUAAUGAGAUCGUAGGUUCGAGAAUCACUAAAUUCAGAGUUACGGUUAAAGAGAUACGAUUUUCGGAAGCUCUUUAUGGUUAAUUAAUAUAAAUCAUGGGAGAAAAUAUUACAAAGAAAUAGCUAACUCAACUAUAAUAUAAUUUAUACCUUGAUUAGAAAUCAUAUUUUAAUCAAAUAAUUAUAGACAAAUUAAGGUUUAUUUACUAAACCAGGUUUAAACAAGUAUUUGUUUAUUUUUGAAAACAUGUGACAUACUAAAAUAAUGUUGUUAAUACGUAAGUAAUAUUAUUACGAACCUAACACAACUUUAAUAGGUUAAAAAGAAGUCAAAAUGAAUAAGAUAUGGAUUAACUAAGAUUACAGUAUUAUUUUCAUGUUUAAAAACGAUUUCGAAAUUUAUUUUAUUAUUUCCUGGUAAGCUAGGGUCUGAUCUGUAAAAAAUAGACUCAGUUGCAAGGAUUCCUACACAGAUCGGACCGCGGGUUAAUUUUGCUACAUCUAAAGGGCCUCUUUGGUAGAAGGGCCACAACGAUUUUAUGUGGACUGAUCUGGGCCAAGCAUCUGUUGAUCGACGACACGAAAUAAACCACAAAACAGUACUCUCGAGAUCUAAUCACAACCGAUCAGUCGUGAUCUAACGGUUGACACACAUCUCCCACAGACGGACACCACUGUGCGGCGGCACGGCAUGGCCACGGGUGUCACACCGCCGGCGAUGGGCAACCCGACCCCUCCCCAUUGAACCAAACGGCACAUGAUAAGCCUCUAACCGGUGCUAAGAUGAGUGCAAAUAAGAUGAGAAGAAUCUCACCAGCUAUCACAGACGUGAUGCUGUUUGUCCACGGCACACCGCGGAUUCAAGGCGGAGCGUCGAUUCCGGCGAGCAAUCACCAUAGCUCCUGACGAUCCUACCUGGCCAUGUGUUCGACACUUCGACCUCGGACGACGGGGCUCCCUAGUUCUGCACUCGGCGGCACCUCGAGCCCCCUCCCCGACGUGCCCUGCCCGCAUGGUUACG
rnacentral:lncRNA from 1 species